UACGGGGGGGGGCAAGCGUUGUUCGGAAUUACUGGGCGUAAAGGGCUCGUAGGUGGCCAACUAAGUCAGACGUGAAAUCCCUCGGCUCAACCCAGGAACUGCGUCCGAUACUGGUUGGCUUGAAUCCGGGAGAGGGAUGUGGAAUUCCAGGUGUAGCGGUGAAAUGCGUAGAUAUCUGGAGGAAUACCGGUGGCGAAGGCGGCAUCCUGGACCGGCAUUGACGCUGAGGAGCGAAAGCCAGGGGAGCAAACGGG
rnacentral:rRNA from 1 species